UACGUAGGUGACAAGCGUUGUCCGGAUUUACUGGGCGUAAAGAGCGCGCAGGCGGUCGAUCAAGUCGAGUGUGAAAGCCCCCGGCUCAACUGGGGAGGGUCAUUCGAUACUGAUCGACUCGAAGGCAGGAGAGGGUAGUGGAAUUCCCGGUGUAGUGGUGAAAUGCGUAGAUAUCUGGAGGAACACCGGUGGCGAAGGCGGCAUCCUGGACCGACAUUGACGCUGAGGCGCGAAAGCCAGGGGAGCAAACGGG
rnacentral:rRNA from 1 species